GAUUUAUUCUUUCCUCAGGGCUGAAUACUAAUAUGAGGGAUGUCUUUGUUUCUUGGCAGAGAAUGGAUGCUGCAAUAUAAACCCUAGGUGCUUCCAGACAGUUUGGUUGCCUGCCUGGCUUUCCUUCUUCUGGUUGUGUCUGCAAUUGCCAAGGGAGUGGUGGAAGACUUUCUGGAAGACACUUAGGUUCAACCAGACUCCUUAGAUGGGUUCUCUUUGGUUCCAAGGCAUUCCCAGCUGCUGACACAGUCACAAAUUCUGUCUGAAUAGGAGGGUGACCUUUUCAGAGAGGAGUCAAUGUUUGGAAGAAGCAGCAUCUGGCACCUCGGCUCUGUGAAACAUCAAUGACUGCUCCUGGGAAGGGGAAUCAAGAAGCAGCCGACCUGCCUUAGGAAGGCAAGUGACCUGGGUUACUCCUACCCACUGCCAGUCACAUCGAUUUUUCUGCAUAUGACCAGAUGUCCUCAA